UCUUCUCUUAUCUUCUUUUCCAACCCCCCAAUCGUCGCCCCCUAUUAUUGAUAGCUCCUCUGAAACCCAAACAUAGCAGCGGCGGUGCUAGUCCACUCCGACCGGCACGACGACACAUCCGACGAGUACUUUCGGUGUGUUUUGAACCCGUAACAGCAGCGACCCAAGAGCAGAUUUCCUCUCAAGAACGACGAUGUUCUCUCGCUGGUCGUUGGAUUAUGGCAGCAUGUGGCAAACUACAGUAGCGACGACGAUUCUAGUGUGCGGCGGUACGAUUCUCGACAACUGCAGUGUCCUGACGAUUUUUGCUUUUAGAUCCGGUGACCAAGCCUUUGAUUCGCACAACCCACAGUGGCCCGAGCAUAGAACCAACGGCGAUUCUACACCAAGCGCGGCGGUCCGACGCAUCUAUAGUGUUUGGCGGCAAUGCACGACCCAUAGCAACCAGGAUUUGGCGGCCCGUGUCAUGUUUCCAACAUCUAGUAGUGUCAGUAGUGGAUUCGGCGCAUUCUCCACCAAUGCAAAACACGGACAACAGCAUUUUUGUGGCGUUUUCUUCAUUCUGGCGAUAUUCGACGCUUACCCAAACCCAUUCAAAGCUUGAUUUGAGUUACCCACCCCUUCGGCAUUUAUUCGGCGUCGACCCACUCCUAUUUGGACCCAGAUUGGCGUUACACAUUGCUUUUCAACGUCAGACCAGCAAGCCUAAAGCCUCUCAAACUCGAAUUUGGAAGCUCAAACUUCCACGACGUUGACCCAUUCCUAAUCCAAGAGGUUUUAGUGAACCCUUCGACAAAGCUUAGUAGUCCUUUAGGACCCUUGUUGUUUUGUAGGUAAUGGGGUCACACACGGGAAUGGUGAUGGCGAGAAGGAGACGUGACCGAAAAAGACCAUUAGUUGCAUAGCUUAGUUUUGUUUUUAGAUAGGAUAGUGCUGUUAAGUUUCUUAUUUAAAGGAUGUCAGAUCGUUACACUUUGAGAAUAUUAGUUUUGUUUAGCUAAUUGAACUAUGGGGUUGAAAUCUA